CCUACGGGGGGCAGCAGUGAGGAAUAUUGGUCAAUGGACGAGAGUCUGAACCAGCCAAGUAGCGUGAAGGAUGACUGCCCUAUGGGUUGUAAACUGCUUUUAUAUGGGAAUAAAAUGUUUCACGUGUGGGAUUUUGUAUGUACCAUAUGAAUAAGGAUCGGCUAACUCCGUGCCAGCAGCCGCGGUAAUACGGAGGAUCCGAGCGUUAUCCGGAUUUAUUGGGUUUAAAGGGAGCGUAGGUGGUUUGUUAAGUCAGUUGUGAAAGUCUGCGGCUCAACCGUGGAAUUGCAGUGGAAACUGGGAGUCUUGAGUACAGUAGAGGUGGGCGGAAUUCGUGGUGUAGCGGUGAAAUGCUUAGAUAUCACGAAGAACUCCGAUUGCGAAGGCAGCUCACUGGACUGCAACUGACACUGAGGCUCGAAAGUGUGGGUAUCAAACAGGAUUAGAUACCCCAGUAGUC
rnacentral:rRNA from 1 species